UUUGAAAUGCCCUUCAAUUUAUUUUUCUCUUCAGUCUUUAUGAGCUUCAGCUUCAGCUAAUACAGAGCGAGUUUUUAUGGGUGAUAAACACUGAGGGUUUUGGAGAGAAACCAAGAAAUCCAACCAUUUUCGACAGAAUUGCUUCAAUCUACCACCAGGAAGACUAUUAAUCAUCCUCCCUCUACCAUCAGUUUGUCUUCAUUGGGUUGUUCCUUACUAGAAAAGGGAAGAUUCGAAAGGACAAAGCUUCCCACCUCCAUUACCAGUGAUUCGUGCAAAACCCAGGCUUUCCGUCAGCGUUGGUUGCUGAAUAAGCCUUUACUUUAGUUGAUUUCGCUGGGAAUUUGAAGGACAGUUCUGCUUGAUGAUCUGCAUGAAGAAGAUAAAAAUAUUAAAAUCUAUUGAAAUCUGAUACUCUUGCCUGCCAUUUCAAAACCUGUUUACACUUGCUGAAGAUUUGUUGAAUCACGUCUCCAGAUAUUAUUUUCCAUGGGCAAACAUGAAGAUAAGGAUGUUUCUAGUUGUACUGUUUUGGAAUCGUCUAAAGAGACUAUAAGUGAUCGCAAAGCCAGUGGAGAUAGUGAGGAAACCCAAGUUUUUGAGCCAGAUGCUUGUGACGUUCAGGUUCAAGGUCAGUGUGUGACUAAGGGAUCCUCAACUGAAGGGGUGGUGACAGAGGAUGGUGGGUCUUGUAUUGGGGUGAAUAUAAUGGUUGGGGUUAGGGGUUCUGAUAUUAACGUUGAUGGUGUUUUCAUACGUGAUUUUGGUGGUGGUGGUGGGCAAAAUUUGAGUGAGGAAGCAACUAAAAGUCGUGGUGGGUCAAGAGAGUUGGGCUCAGAGGGAGAUGUCAAAACUUUAGGUGGUGGUGGUGGUGGUGAUUUUGGUUCCAAGGCCAUUAUGGAUCCAUGUGUUGAGGCAUCAAAUUUGGGAACUGAGAGUGAGGUAGGAAAGUCUUCUGGGGUUGCUGAAUCUAAAGAAGGAGAAUUGGUGGAGGAUGUGGCAAGAGUUAGGGAGGUAAACUUGGGAUUGGUGACUGAGGUUGGAAAUUCUUCUGGGGUUGCUGAAUCCAAGGAAGAAGGAGAAUUGGUGGAGAAUAUACCAAGAGUUAGGGACGUAAACUUGGGAGUGGAGACCGAUGUUGGAAAAUCUUCUGGGAUUGCAGAAUCAAAAGAAGAAGGAGAAUUUUUGGAGGGUGGUACAAGAGUUAUGGAGGUAAAUUUGGGAACUGACAGUGAGAUUGGAAAGUGUUCUGGCGCUGCAGAAUCUAAAGAAGAAGGUGUAUUGGUGGAGGGAGUUAGAGAGGUCAUUGAUGUUGAUGGGUCUUAUGUUGCUGAUGAUAAUACUUUGCAGGAAGCUGGGGCUGGGAAUGCUCAGAAUGUGGGAAUCAAGAGUGCAGUUGAAGUUUCUUCUCUUGUUGAAGGAUCCACUGGUGGGGAAACCCAAGUUGUAGUUGAGAAAGUGGCAGUAGUUACAGGGAAGGAACGUUUGGAGGGAGGAUUGGACAAGGAGUGUAUUGAGAAAGUUGGGAUGGAUGUCGUUAAGGAUGUGAAUUCUCAGGAAGUUGGGGUUUCAGAUAAUGAAGUAGGUAAUCAAGGAGUUGAAAAUGUUGGAGGUUCCCCAGCAGUUUUUGGUUCUUCUGUAGUUGAUACCCAAGCUAUUGCAGUCGAGAAAUCUGAAGUGGUUGAGGAGGCUAUGGAUCAGGCUAACGAAACAAAUGAGAACGAGGGGGCUUCGCUUCAGGAUUCAGAAACACAAAAGGUCUGUGUUUUGCAUGAUGAGGUGUCGAAUCCUGGAACUAAAACUGCAGGAGCACCUUCUUCAAUCAUCAAGGAAGGUUCAAAUGUAGAGAACCAAGGUAUUGAGGAGGAAGCUGUGGUGAUGGUUGAUGAUGGAAAUUUAAAUCCCAAAAUUGAAACAGUUUUUGAUGGGGCACAUGGUAGUGAUUCUGUGGAGGGGGUUGUAUCCAGUUCUGAGAAAGAUUCAGUUGCAAUAGAAAAAGAUGCCAUUACCAAUGCAACCUCCAAAUGCUUUGAUGGACAAAUUGAUGAGGAAGUUGCAUCAAUGGACAAUGAGGAGAUUACAUAUCCUAACAUUGAAGGUAUGGACACUGACGCUUUUAAUGAAAAUUUUUGUUUUUCAGUGGAAGAACUGCAGGCUACAGUUGAGACUGCCAAUGGAAGCACUGAAAAUCACUAUGAUGCAUUUGCAGAUUUGCAAUCUUCACAACAGCCAACUCAAGUAGUUGUUGGAGGUGAAGUUGGAGCAUCUGAGAACAUGGUGCUUCUGAAUUCUGAAGAUGAAAAAAAAUUAGUAAUUGAAGAGUGGUCAGACCAGAGUAUGCCUCAUGAUUCUGCUCAUGUUGGUUCAACCGUAGAUGCAGAGAUGGGAGAUGAUGAAAAAGUUGCUGGUGCUGAACAAGCUAGUAUGCUGAAAGAACAAGGCAAGGUUGAGACCGCAAAUAAGAACGUUGAAACUCACUGCACCAAAGAUUUAGACUUCAUAACAUGUCGUCAGUCAGCACCUGCAGUUGGUGAUGAAAUUGCAGAAAUGGCUGACAAGGUUCGUUCAGACGCAAAUUUUGGGGGUCCUGUUGAUAUGCAUUUGGAUGGGAUGUUAUCAUCAUCGGGAAACGAACAGCAUAUAAAGACUGAGACAGACUCUAUGGAAAUAGAUACUCACACUACUUCAACUGACAAGGAUAAGGUUAAUUCAACUGUCAAUGUUUCGGAUCCUACUGAAAAAGACCAUGAGUUGAAGGUGAAAGAAUGCAUAGACAAGAAUGCAGCUUGUGAUCCUGAUCAGGAUGAUCCAAACAUGGGGCAACUGAUGGAUGUUCAAGAACAGGUUGCUUGUGUUGAACAGCUUGGAAGAGAAGAGAUGAAGGUAGUAGAACAGAACUCAGAGGCUGAAACAGUUUGUGCAAGCAGAGAACAAGAUACCUUAUUAAUUGAUGGAGAGCAAACUGCUAUAGCAGACUAUGAUUUGACUUUGAAUCCCAGUACCGGACUUGAGGGGCCACCUGAAGGGGAUCGGAAUCUGACGGUUGAAGAAGACUUGGAUGAGAGUGCAGAUAGUGAUGUUUCUGAGAUUGAAUCAAGUGCAGCAACAGAAACAGUGGUUGAAGAGCAUGAUGCUUUUCUCGAAGGUGAGUUCACUGUAUCUGAUUUGGUCUGGGGCAAAGUGAGGAGCCAUCCAUGGUGGCCUGGGCAGAUAUUUGACCCUUCAGCUGCCUCUGAGAAAGCAGUGAAGUAUCAUAAAAAGGACUGUUUUUUGGUAGCAUAUUUUGGGGAUCGGACAUUUGCGUGGAACGAGGCAUCUCUGCUAAGGCCUUUCAGGUCUCAUUUCUCCCAGGUUGAGAAGCAGAGCAAUUCUGAAGCAUUCCAGAAUGCUGUUGAUUGUGCUUUAGAAGAAUUUUCAAGACGUGUAGAGUUUGGGCUGGCAUGCUCAUGCAUACCAAAGGAUACUUACAAUAAACUUAAAUUUCAGAUAGUAGAAAACACUGGAAUCCGACAAGAAGCAAGUGUAAGAGAUGGUGUGGACAAAUCCGUGGUUGCUGAUUUAUUUGAACCUGGUAAAUUAGUGGGGUAUAUGAAAGCAUUAGCACAAUUUCCAGCUGGUGGAGCUGAUCGACUUGAACUUGUCAUUGCCAGUUCCCAAUUGCUGGCCUUCUAUCGCUUAAAGGGUUAUUCUCAGUUGCCUGAAUUCCAGUUUUGUGGAGGGUUGCUGGAGAAUGUAGGCACUUUAGAAUUUACAGAUGAAGUGAUUGAGCAUACACAUCCUUUUUAUAAGGAUGAUGGACAAAUUUUAUCCGGUCAGGAGUUGUUGCAUGCUCAAAGAAGUUCUUACCACAAGCGCAAACAUAAUUUGAAGGAUACUGUAUAUCCUAGGAAGAAAGAAAAAAGCUUGUCUGAAUUAAUGGGUGAUUCAUGGGAUUGUCUAGAUGAUGAAAUUGGUCCUGAUGGGAAAGCUAACAAUAAAUUAGUUUCACCAUCUUCUGGGAAGAAGUGGAAGGUGUUUGAUUCCUUUCCUGAUGACUUGGCCAUGGCAGAAGGGAGGAAAACUAUCUCUCUUGCAAAAGUCUCUACUACUGCACCUUCAUUUCCUAAGCCUUCGUUCAAGAUUGGUGAAUGUAUCCGUAGAGUUGCUAGCCAGAUGACUGGGUCUACCUCCAUAUUGAAGUCUAAUAACAUGAAGCAAGAUGGAAGCAGUGAUGGACUUGUUGGUGAUGGAUCUGAUGUUUUGUUCCAACAUUCUGAGGAUGCUGAGACAAGGAGAACAAUUGUUCCCACAGAAUACUCAUCAUUGGAUGAAUUACUAUCACAACUUCACUUGGCAGCACAAGAUCCCUUUAAAGGAUAUAGUUUCUUGACCAUCAUUAUUAAUUUUUUCUCUGAUUUUAGGAACUCAGUGAUCAUGGAGCAGCGUGAGAAAGUAGGUGGUAAAAGGAGACAAGCAUUUCAUUCCAUUGGUGGUUCUCCUGAGACAUUUGAAUUUGAGGAUAUGAAUGACACUUAUUGGACCGACCGGGUUAUUCAAAAUGGUUCUGAAGAGCAACCAUCACGGAAAAGUAGAAAACGGGAUAAUCAACUUGUGUCUAUGGACCAGGAUAAGGCCCUUAAUAAGUCGAACUCUAGAAAACGGUAUUCUGAUGGCAAUUAUGGUCUAUUAGCAGAGAACCCAGCGGGUUAUGUAGAUGAGAAUGCACCUGCAGAACUUGUUAUGCAUUUUCCUGUGGUGGAUUGUGUUCCUUCAGAAAUAAGCCUGAAUAAGAUGUUUAGGCGGUUUGGGCCUUUGAAGGAGUCAGAGACAGAAGUAGACAAGGAUACCAAUCGUGCCAGAGUUGUUUUCAAGAAGUGUUCUGAUGCAGAAGCUGCAUAUGGUAGUGCUCCAAAGUUCAAUAUUUUUGGUUCAAUACUUGUAAAUUACCAGCUCAACUAUACUAUAUCUGUACCAUUUAAAAGUCAACCAAUGAUCACACUCCAAGGUGAGGAAGAUGCAACACUUUUUUUGCAGUAUUGAAGAAGCGGAUCUGACAUAAAAAUUUUGGAGAGAGCAGAUGUUGAAAAACUGAGGCAGAUGCAGUGCAGCUCCUAUUCUACUGCUGAUGCUCUUACACAUGCAUAUGUUAAUGGGAUGCUGAAAAAGGUAAUGCUAUUUUGAGGUUGAAAGCUGCUGCUGCUACUCGUAUAUGCUAUUUUGAGGUUGAAAGCUGCUGCUGCUACUCGUAUGCCAUGUAGAUCGUCGUUGUUCUUGAUGUAUGUAUCUUUGGGCAAUAGGAAACCUCCUCAUUAUGAUUGACAUAGGAUAAAUCUGCAGGCCUCAUGCAAAGAAGCAUCGUAGGGCUCGUAUUCCAUAACAUAGCUGUGGGGAAGCUUCAAGUGCCCGAAGCUUUGGUGGUCAAAAUACAUGAAUGGCAUCACUCAUCAUCUUCAUUUCAUGGUGUGUCCUCUGAUAAUCAAUAAAAGCCUGUUUUGAUCUACUAAUACGUAUAUGAUUGUUGUUUGAGUAUACUAUUAAGAACAACUGAAUUCUACAAAAAGACUCUUAUUCUAUGAAGGCCGGGUAUGAUGUUGCGAGGGAGUUGUUGUCUCCAAGUAAAGGAUAUGGUGCUCUAGGAGGCUGGCUUAAUUUUUGGUGGAGCGCCUGUAGAGAUGUUGAGAUUGAUUGAUGGAGAGAGGUGUAAGCAUUGAUGGGCACUGUGGAGUUUAUAUUGGUGUAUUGAAAGACAGUAUUCAUUGGUGUUGGAGUGCUCUUUUGCUGCGAAUUGUUGGGAUGCUGCAAUACCAUUGCAUUAAUAUUUGGAUUAUGUCUGUUUUAUGGUUUAUAAAAGACUUAUUUCUUUGAUA